rnacentral:rRNA from 1 species
CCUACGGGUGGCAGCAGUGAGGAAUAUUGGUCAAUGGGCGGGAGCCUGAACCAGCCAAGCCGCGUGAGGGAAGAAGGUACAGCGUAUCGUAAACCUCUUUUGUCAGGGAACAAAGGCGGGGACUAGUCCCCGGAUGAGGGUACCUGAAGAAAAAGCAUCGGCUAACUCCGUGCCAGCAGCCGCGGUAAUACGGAGGAUGCGAGCGUUAUCCGGAUUUAUUGGGUUGAACGGGUGCGCAGGCGGCCUGUGAAGUCAGCGGUAAGAGCCCGGGGCUCAACCCCGGCGAGCCGUUGAAACUGGCGUGCUGGAGUUGGAGAGAGGUACGCGGAAUGCGCGGUGUAGCGGUGAAAUGCUUAGAUAUCACGAAGAACUCCGAUUGCGAAGGCAGCUUACUGAACUGCCACUGACAUUGAUGCUCGAAAGUGUGGGUAUCAAACAGGAUUAGAUACCCGUGUAGUC